AGAACUUUUUGUGACUGACGGAAGUGGGAGAACCACAGGGAGCAAAAAGCAUAGUUGCGGCCGACCGUCUGGGCAGUUCAA
rnacentral:ncRNA from 2 species